rnacentral:rRNA from 1 species
CCUACGGGAGGCAGCAGUGAGGAAUAUUGGUCAAUGGCCGGAAGGCUGAACCAGCCAUGCCGCGUGAAGGUCAGUGCCCUAUGGGCGUUAAACUUCUUUUGUGCGGGAGCAAUAAUGGUCACGUGUGGCCAGACGAGAGUACCGUACGACUAAGCAUCGGCUAACUCCGUGCCAGCAGCCGCGGUAAUACGGGGGAUGCAAGCGUUAUCCGGAUUUAUUGGGUUUAAAGGGUGCGUAGGCUGGGAGGUAAGUCAGCGGUGAAAUGCCCCCGCUCAACGGGGUGAAGUGCCAUUGAUACUGCCUGGCUGGAAUGCGGAUGCCGUGGGAGGAAUGUGUGGUGUAGCGGUGAAAUGCAUAGAUAUCACACAGAACACCGAUUGCGAAGGCAUCUCACGAAUCCGCGAUUGACGCUGAUGCACGAAAGCGUGGGUAUCAAACAGGAUUAGAUACCCCUGUAGUC